rnacentral:rRNA from 1 species
UACGAAGGGGGCUAGCGUUGUUCGGAAUUACUGGGCGUAAAGCGUGCGCAGGCGGCCUUCCAAGUCAGGGGUGAAAGCCCAGAGCUCAACUCUGGAAUUGCCUUUGAGACUGUGAGGCUUGAGUACGGGAGAGGUGAGUGGAAUUCCCAGUGUAGAGGUGAAAUUCGUAGAUAUUGGGAAGAACACCGGUGGCGAAGGCGGCUCACUGGCCCGAAACGUGACGCUCAUGCACGACAGCGUGGGGAUCAAACAGG